rnacentral:rRNA from 1 species
AGUGAACGCUGGCGGUAGGCCUAACACAUGCAAGUCGAAUGGCAGCACAGGAGAGCUUGCUCUCUGGGUGGCGAGUGGCGGACGGGUGAGGAAUACAUCGGAAUCUACCUUUUCGUGGGGGAUAACGUAGGGAAACUUACGCUAAUACCGCAUACGACCUACGGGUGAAAGUGGGGGACCGCAAGGCCUCACGCGAUUAGAUGAGCCGAUGUCCGAUUAGCUAGUUGGCGGGGUAAUGGCCCACCAAGGCGACGAUCGGUAGCUGGUCUGAGAGGAUGAUCAGCCACACUGGAACUGAGACACGGUCCAGACUCCUACGGGAGGCAGCAGUGGGGAAUAUUGGACAAUGGGCGCAAGCCUGAUCCAGCCAUACCGCGUGGGUGAAGAAGGCCUUCGGGUUGUAAAGCCCUUUUGUUGGGAAAGAAAUCCUGUCGGUUAAUACUCGGUGGGGAUGACGGUACCCAAAGAAUAAGCACCGGCUAACUUCGUGCCAGCCGCCGCCGUAAAAC